GGGGCUUGUCCUCGGCAUGGGUGGAGGGGUGCUUCGCGAGCACCCGGCGGGCGUUGCCGCUCUCGAGGUUGAGCACCACGAGGCCUCC
rnacentral:tRNA from 1 species